GACGAACGCUGGCGGCGUGCUUAACACAUGCAAGUCGAACGGAAAGGCCCUGCUUUUGUGGGGUGCUCGAGUGGCGAACGGGUGAGUAACACGUGAGUAACCUGCCCUUGACUUUGGGAUAACUUCAAGAAACUGGGGCUAAUACCGGAUAGGAGCUCCUGCUGCAUGGUGGGGGUUGGAAAGUUUCGGCGGUUGGGGAUGGACUCGCGGCUUAUCGGCUUGUUGGUGGGGUAGUGGCUUACCAAGGCUUUGACGGGUAGCCGGCCUGAGAGGGUGACCGGCCACAUUGGGACUGAGAUACGGCCCAGACUCCUACGGGAGGCAGCAGUGGGGAAUAUUGCACAAUGGGCGGAAGCCUGAUGCAGCAACGCCGCGUGCGGGAUGACGGCCUUCGGGUUGUAAACCGCUUUCGCCUGUGACGAAGCGUGAGUGACGGUAAUGGGUAAAGAAGCACCGGCUAACUACGUG
rnacentral:rRNA from 1 species